rnacentral:rRNA from 1 species
AUUGAACGCUGGCGGCAGGCUUAGCACAUGCAAGUCGAGCGGAGAUGAGGUGCUUGCACCUUAUCUUAGCGGCGGACGGGUGAGUAAUGCUUAGGAAUCUGCCUAUUAGUGGGGGACAACAUUCCGAAAGGAAUGCUAAUACCGCAUACGUCCUACGGGAGAAAGCAGGGGAUCUUCGGACCUUGCGCUAAUAGAUGAGCCUAAGUCGGAUUAGCUAGUUGGUGGGGUAAAGGCCUACCAAGGCGACGAUCUGUAGCGGGUCUGAGAGGAUGAUCCGCCACACUGGGACUGAGACACGGCCCAGACUCCUACGGGAGGCAGCAGUGGGGAAUAUUGGACAAUGGGGGGAACCCUGAUCCAGCCAUGCCGCGUGUGUGAAGAAGGCCUUAUGGUUGUAAAGCACUUUAAACGAGAAGGAGGCUACUGUGACUAAUACUCUUGGAUAGUGGACGUUACUCGCAGAAUAAGCACCGGCUAACUCUGUGCCAGCCGCCGCAGUAAAAC